AUUGAACGCUGGCGGAAUGCUUUACACAUGCAAGUCGAACGGCAGCAUAGGUGCUUGCACCUGAUGGCGAGUGGCGAACGGGUGAGUAAUACAUCGGAACGUGCCCAGUCGUGGGGGAUAACGUAGCGAAAGUUACGCUAAUACCGCAUACGAUCUAAGGAUGAAAGCGGGGGACCGUAAGGCCUUGCGCGAUUGGAGCGGCCGAUGUCAGAUUAGGUAGUUGGUGAGGUAAAGGCUCACCACGCCGACGAUCUGUAGCUGGUCUGAGAGGACGACCAGCCUACCUGGGACUGAGACACGGCCCAGACUCCUACGGGAGGCAGCAGUGGGGAAUGUUGGACAAUGGACGCAAGUCUGAUCCAGCCAUUCCGCGUGCAGGACGAAGGCCUUCGGGUUGUAAACUGCUUUUGUACGGAACGAAAAAGCUCUUACUAAUACUAGGAGUCCAUGACGGUACCGUAAGAAUAAGCACCGGCUAACUACGUGCCAGCCGCCGCGGUAA
rnacentral:rRNA from 1 species